rnacentral:rRNA from 1 species
AUUGAACGCUGGCGGCAUGCCUUACACAUGCAAGUCGAACGGCAGCACGGGAGCAAUCCUGGUGGCGAGUGGCGAACGGGUGAGUAAUGUAUCGGAACGUGCCCAGUCGUGGGGGAUAACGCAGCGAAAGCUGUGCUAAUACCGCAUACGAUCUAUGGAUGAAAGCGGGGGAGUCGCAAGACCUCGCGCGAUUGGAGCGGCCGAUAUCAGAUUAGCUAGUUGGUGGGGUAAAGGCUCACCAAGGCGACGAUCUGUAGCUGGUCUGAGAGGACGACCAGCCACACUGGAACUGAGACACGGUCCAGACUCCUACGGGAGGCAGCAGUGGGGAAUUUUUGGACAAAUGGGCGCAAGCCUGAUCCAGCAAUGCCGCGUGCAGGAUGAAGGCCU